rnacentral:lncRNA from 1 species
GGCCAGAGCGGCUCCAAUUACCACCGAGAUACGGGCGCGGGGCGGCGGCGAGCGGCGAGCGGGGCGGUGUGUUCUCGGCUGUCACACCUGUCCUGAGGAAAGCCCUGUGGAAGGAGCUCGGUGCCGCGAUUCAGGACCCUGAGGCCACUGUGAAACUGCAAAUUCUUUCCAAGCUGUUGCCACCUCCGGGAAGCAGAGGGCUGCACAACCUGAUGGACUGCCUUCCUGCUGCUCCGGAGAGAGCAGGCAAUGAAGAGAGUGUGUGGUUGAAGAAGUGGACCCAGAUGACUGGUGUGACCUUGUGAAGACAGGGCUCAAGUAACCAUCCUGAGGUCAAGAGAAGAUGAUUGCAUGAGCGUCCAGACAAAAGGAUGGCUCUCUGUGGUCUCAGACAGUGUUCCCUGGGAGGAAGGGCAGCCUUUGCCUCGCCUGCACAGCUCAGGUGGAUGUGACAGAACUGGUGUGGCCUGACAAGGCAUGAGCAGCUGUCUGUGCACUGGAGUGCCUUGAAACCUUUCUCUGUGAGGUUUUGGACACUUUUCUCUUUGGGAUUUCUUGUGACACAUCACCCAGAAAUCAUUAAGCUCCUCCCAUCUUUGCCAGAAGCUUCAGUGUUUAAGCAGCCAGAGCCAAGAGGCUUCAGCACCAGGGGUGUGCACUGGAGGGCUCCUGGUCCUGCCCACGCUGUGGGGGAGCCAGGGCUGGCACAAGGACUCGUGCAGGUGCUGCUCUGGCACCGGAGCUGUUGCCCUGUGGAGCCAUUUUAAAGGUGUGAUUAUGGAACAUUUUGGAGGCUGUUUCUGGAAUUCCAUUUGUAGCUGGAUCUCGCUCCGAGUGCAGCAGUCCAGAUGCUGCACUCACCUCUGCAGACAAGCGCUGAGCUCUCACUGCAGGAA